rnacentral:rRNA from 1 species
GCGGUUUGGGAUCAUUAUGCCAGCAUCCUUGAUAAAAUCGCAGUCCUCGGUCUAGGCAGGCAGCAUCAACGCAGGCUAUAACACUUCACCGAAGUAAAGUCACAUUCCUACGCCAUUAUCCUACCGCCCAAACCGAUGCUGGCCCGAUAAGCUGCGGGUCACCCCGCCACGAAGGCAAGGCUCACAAAAUAUCGAGUCUGAUCUCAAACCCUUCCCUUUCAACAAUUUCACGUACUUUUUCACUCUCUUUUCAAAGUUCUUUUCAUCUUUCCAUCACUGUACUUGUUCGCUAUCGGUCUCUCGCCAAUAUUUAGCUUUAGAUGGAAUUUACCACCCACUUAGAGCUGCAUUCCCAAACAACUCGACUCUUCGAAAGCACCUUACAUAGGAUUGGGCAUCUCAUCGCACGGGAUUCUCACCCUCUGUGACGUCCUGUUCCAAGAAACAUAGACAAGAGCCAACCCCAAGGUUACAAUCUUCAAAUUACAACUCGGACACCGAAGGUGCCAGAUUUCAAAUUUGAGCUUUUGCCGCUUCACUCGCCGCUACUAAGGCAAUCCCUGUUGGUUU